rnacentral:rRNA from 1 species
UCCGCUGACGACCGGCGCACGGGUGCGUAACGCGUAUGCAACCUACCUUCUACAGGGGGAUAGUCAAUAGAAAUGUUGAAUAAUACCCCAUACGAUCAUUUAUCUGCAUAGAUUAAUGAAGAAAGCUCCGGCGGUAGAAGAUGGGCAUGCGUCCUAUUAGUUAGUUGGUAAGGUAACGGCUUACCAAGACAUCGAUAGGUAGGGGUCCUGAGAGGGAGAUCCCCCACACUGGUACUGAGACACGGACCAGACUCCUACGGGAGGCAGCAGUGAGGAAUAUUGGACAAUGGAGGCAACUCUGAUCCAGCCAUGCCGCGUGCAGGAAGACGGCCCUAUGGGUUGUAAACUGCUUUUAUACAGGAAGAAUUGUACCUACGUGUAGGUAUUUGACGGUACUGUACGAAUAAGGAUCGGCUAACUCCGUGCCAGCAGCCGCGGUAAUACGGAGGAUCCAAGCGUUAUCCGGAAUCAUUGGGUUUAAAGGGUCCGUAGGCGGUCUUUUAAGUCAGAGGUGAAAUCCUGCAGCUCAACUGUAGCAUUGCCUUUGAUACUGAGAGACUUGAGUUAUUGUGAAGUAGUUAGAAUGUGUAGUGUAGCGGUGAAAUGCAUAGAUAUUACACAGAAUACCGAUUGCGAAGGCAGAUUACUAACAAUAUACUGACGCUGAGGGACGAAAGCGUGGGUAGCGAACAGGAUUAGAUACCCUGGUAGUCCACGCCGUAAACGAUGGAUACUAGCUGUUCGACCAACAUUGGUUGGUUGAGUGGCUAAGCGAAA